rnacentral:lncRNA from 1 species
GGGCAAAGCAAACCGAAAUCUGGCAUGGGAUACAAUUAAUAAUGGAAACUGUGUGUAAAAACAAGACAUACAUUAACACCAACAACGACUGAACUGACAGAGCGGAGCAGACACAGCAACAAACACGAAGCAAGAGCCAGCAGCUGGCAAAGAGGAAGAAGAAUGCUGUCAGGGGGAGAGAGACGAAAAACCUAGCGUAUCAAAAUGCAACCCACAAUGACACAAACACAC